AUGUGGAGAAAAACCAUCACCUUUUCACUUGGCGAGGACCAAGUGAAUUUGGAAAUUCACUUUCCAAACUAUGGCAGCUGGGAGAACUGGAAGCUUAAAGACGACGCUGGAGGCUCUGGCUUGGGUGGAUGGCGGCGCUUUCCGCCAGCUGGGGAGGACCGGAGUUCAGCCGGAGAGGAAGAUAAGGCCUGCGUUCCUGGGUCCUCGGAGUCCGAAGUCCUGGGAGCCACCCGGGCGGAGGGCGGUGUAAACUGCUGGCUGAGCGAUCGGAGGCUAGGACAGGUGGAGACGUGCGCGAGGGACCUGAGCGCAGCCGGGAGGCGGGGGGGCGGCCCGGGUGGGAAGGGCGGGGGCGGCAGCGCAGCCCGAGGGCCCUCCCGCCUGCGGGUUCUGCCCGCCGCAGCAUCUCCUCGCGCUUCUCAGGCUCCACCUCCUGGAGGCGGGUCGGCAGCGGCGGUCGGCAGCGCCCACAGGCAGCACGCGCGGACGGCGGAGGCUGGAGGCUCGGCCCCCCGGGCGCGGUCGCCGAGGCGCGGAGGGUGCAGAGUCCCGUCCUCCACGCCGGCCGCUGGGCUCCGGGGCAGCCGUGGCCCUUGGCAGCGUCUGCAGCUCCUCUUAAGCGGAGUCCACCGUGCAGAGCUGCGGGGAAACCGCGGCCCAGCAAGGCGGGCGGGAGGGGGCGCUGAGGCCGAAGGGGCGGGGCGUUUCCGUGGCGCCGCUGCUCCGCCGGGGAUCGCCGUGCUGGGCGGGCCACCUGUCCCCCGCGGCUCCGCGCGCCCGGCUGUCGGAGGAGCUCGGAAGACCUCGGGUUCCGGAAGAGCUGGGCGGGGCGAGCGGGGCGGGCGAGGCGGGAGCGCACCCGGGGCCGGCUCGGGGCUGGCUGAGCGCGGGCGGGGGCGAGGCGGGGCGCGGGCGGGGGGCGGGGCGCGGGCGGGGCGCGGGCGGGGGCGCGGGCGGGGGCGGGGCGGAGCGCGGGCGGGGGCGCGGCGGCGGCGCUGGGCCUCAUAG
rnacentral:lncRNA from 1 species